AGCGAACGCUGGCGGCAGGCCUAACACAUGCAAGUCGAACGAAGUCUUCGGACUUAGUGGCGGACGGGUGAGUAACACGUGGGAACGUGCCUUUAGGUUCGGAAUAACUCAGGGAAACUUGUGCUAAUACCGAAUGUGCCCUUCGGGGGAAAGAUGUAUCGCCUUUAGAGCGGCCCGCGUCUGAUUAGCUAGUUGGUGAGGUAAAGGCUCACCAAGGCGACGAUCAGUAGCUGGUCUGAGAGGAUGAUCAACCACAUUGGGACUGAGACACGGCCCAAACUCCUACGGGAGGCAGCAGUGGGGAAUCUUGCGCAAUGGGCGAAAGCCUGACGCAGCCAUGCCGCGUGAAUGAUGAAGGUCUUAGGAUUGUAAAAUUCUUUCACCGGGGACGAUAAUGACGGUACCCGGAGAAGAAGCCCCGGCUAACUUCGUGCCAGCCGCCGCGGUAACAC
rnacentral:rRNA from 1 species